rnacentral:tRNA from 2 species
UGGGAUGCUACACUGGGAAUGGUCAGGAUAGCUCAGCUGGUAGAGCAGAGGACUGAAAAUC